AAAAGGUUCAUAUUUGAAUUGGUGGACUGAGUAAAGCAGAAGGCCCUCCCCAACGUGGGUGGAGCUCACCCGACCCGUUAAAGGCCUGAAUAGAACAAAAAGGUGGAGAAAGAGAGGUUUUGCUUCCUCUGUUUGGUUGUCUUCCAGCUGGGACGUUGGUCUCCUCCUGCCUCUGCACUUGGACUUGGAUUUGGACUUGGACUUGGACUGGACUACACCACUGGCUCUCCCAAGUGUCCAGUUUGGCAACUGCAGAUUGCGGGACUUCUCAGCCUCCAUAGCUAUGAAACACAUAUAAUGUUUUCUCGUCUUGCUGUUCAUUAAACUUUCUCUCUGUGAACGUCUACGUGGCUGGUGAAUUAUGCGAGUGAAGUCAGCUGGCAACAAUGAAAAAGCUAAGAAAACGAAGAGAAGGUAAAGGGGGGGGGCGGUGGUUUCUGGAAGGCUGGGGCUCUGGGCAGCCGCCUAGGCCCACUGAGCUCACCCACUACGGAGUCCCAUGGCUGUCUGUUGAUGGUGACGGCUACCUGCUGCUCUAUUUCUUUAUUUAGGGGAAAGAGGUCUGGUGUGCCCACAUGCUGAGGGACUGCCCUGGGCCUGAUGCUUUUCUGUCUUGCUGGUCCCUUUAUUCCACAAAUACUAUUUGUUUAGAUGUCCUUUUAGAGACAGCAGAAGGGGAGGGCUACUCGGAGGGAUGGUGUGUUAAUUUCUUGUGGCUGCCAAAUCUUGUGACAAAUCGCCACAAACUGCGUGGCUUAGAACAGCAUGUUUUCUCUCUUAGAUCUGGAGGCCCGAAGUCUGAGAUCCAGGUGUCAGCAGGGCCGGGCUCCCUCUGCGGGCUCUAGGGGAGGAUCCUUCCUGCCUCUUCCAGCUUCUGGUGUCUCCAGAUGUUCCUUGAGGGAGGAAAUCAGCCACAGGACAUCGCCAAAAAUUCACAUAGACGCCCCAACAAGCCUGAAAGAAAAGUCGUAUUUGCGGGAAAAGAUGGAGCCAGUGUCGCAGGUGUGGAUCCCCCGGGGACAGCCAUGGCUUGGACGCCCAGAGACGUGGCAGUCAAGAAAGCCCCAUUCCUGGACGGAUUUUCAAGGUUCUUGCUUUUUGAAAAACAGUAUUUAAAGAGAGCAGCUUUGAUUAAAUUCUUCCUCAGGGUUCCCAGAAACCAUCAUCUUUCUCCUCCCACCUCCCCUCCUCUGCGCCCAUUGGCUUUGCUGCAGUUCAGUGAAUACACUGCAGACCAUACUUCUCAGCUGAGGAAUCUCGGAUGCACUGUCUCUUCAAGGCCUGUUUUCCCAGCUUGGCAUGCUUAUUUGUUGGCAGAAGAGGGAAGGAAAUCUCAAAGCCUGAUGGGGGUGGUAGGAGGUCGGAGUCUGAGAUCAAGGUGUCUGCAGUUUGGUCUCUUCUGAGGGCAGUGAUGGACGGUCUUUUGCAAGACCCUCUCCCUUAGCUUCUGCUGGUUUGCUGGCCCUCUCUGGCCUUCCUUGGCUUGGAGAUGCACUACAUCCCCCCACCCCACCCCACCCUGAUCGCUGCCUUCACCUUAAUAUGAUGCUCUCAGGGAGCACGUGUCUCUGUCCAAAUUUCCCCCUUUAUAAGGACAGCAGCCAUAUUGGGUUAGGAUGAGGGACCUAAUCGUACCCCAGUAAGACCUCAUUGUAACUAAUUACGUCUGCAGUGACCCUGUUUCCAAAUAAUGCCCCAUUCUUAGGUGCUGGGAGUUAGGACUUUACCUUCUCAGUUUUGGGGGACACAGUUCAACAAUAACAACUGUGAAAGGUCAUGUGGGCACAGGCAGCUUAGAGGAGCUCAGACUGAUAUUUGAAGCAGUCACUAAAACCAAAAGAUCAGGAAUAUUUACUAUCGAUUUGUGUUUUCUUCUGCUGAGGAUGGUCAGGCAAAAUCACGAAGUAUGAGAAUUCAAGUGAGCGGAGAAAAGAAUGGACUGUUCAGUGGGCAGUGUUAGGACAACCAGGAAGUCAUUCAGAGUGAAAUGCAAGCGGGCUCCCAGCUAAGUCCAGCUGGGUCAAAGAUCUCAGUCUAAAAGUUAGACUGUUAAAAGGACUAUGGGAAAACAAGGCAGUCAUUUCAUGUUAGUAACAUAGGAAUAGGGGCAAGACUAACUCUACUCUUGUGUUCCUGAAAAAUGAGCUUGCCUAUGGCACAAAACUAGGAUCUCAUAAGGAAAAAUAUUGGUAAGUUUCACUACAUGAAAUAAAACCAUUAUAAAAAUAUUCAGGCCAAAGGUAAAAGAAUAAAAAUAUCAUUAACAAAGAAAGCCAUGAGACACAGGACAGACUGUGAAACAUGCAUCUGCAUGGCACGUGAUGAAGAAAGGGUGAAUUUUCUUUGUAUAAAACAGGACUUUCCAAAUCAAGAAGAAAAAGCUAAAAAUCCAUUUGAAAAAAAAAAUGGGCAAAGGGCAGAGAAAGCAGCACCAGUAAAUAUAUUAAAAAAUGCUCAACUCCACUCUAAGAAAUGUAAAUGACGCCUCGUUUUCUCUCACGCAACCAGCAAAGAUCAGUGAGCUGUUUGCCUCCAGUGAGGGUGAACGUCUGUGCGUGCGGCCCGUGCCCCUCUGGAGGGAGGGCUGUGAAUCCACGCAACCUCUGGGGGGCAAUUUGGCAGCAUCUUUAAAAGCAAAAUAUGCAUAUCCUCUUUUCGCCCAUCAAUCUUACUUCUGAGAUUCUAUUUUAGGGAAAUCAAAGAGUUUCCUUGCAGUGUUGUUUGUAAUGGAAAAAAAUGUAGGAAGCCAUCUAAAUAUUCAUCAGCAGAGCACUAGCUAUGCAAAUGAGCAGACACCCAUAAAAUGGGAUAUUACUUUGCAGUUUAAAAAGAAUAUGUUAAUACUUACAUACAUUAUAUUUUUAGAAAAGCAGUCAACCAUGGGCAAAAACGUAUGUUUCCAUUUGGGCAACACAAUAUAAAUAUGUAUUAAUGCGUGUGGACAUAUGCUUGAGUAAGUAUGGAACGUAUCUGGAAGGCAUGCCACGGGCUGUGAGCAGAUCUCUUCCAGGAGAGGCCCUGGCAAAGAGAGGGUGGGCCGGGGAUGUGUUUUUGUUAUAUAUUCUUUUAUGCUAUUUGAAUUUCUUACCACGUGCAACUAGCACUUUUAAAGUAAAAACAUCGAGAUGAAAAUGAAAAAAAAAACGAGGAAGCAGAAAUUGAUCCUUCCCUGGCAAUCAGAUGGCUUUGCUCUGGGCAACUCUUAACAUGCACAGCUGAGGACAGUGACAGGCAAAAUCUAACUGCUUUAGACUGAAGCAAAUGAGAGAUUCAUCACCCAAGUCAAGCUGGCUGUGUGGGUGGAGGACUGCGGUCGGUGCCUCUCGUCUGGGUGGGAAAGAAUGAUUAUGAUUUAAAAAACAGGCCUUGACUCACAGACAUAGAAAACAAACUUGUGGUGACCAAAGGGGAAAGGGGUGGGGAGGGGCAAUUUAGAAGUUUGGGAUUAGCAGAUACAAACUACUAUAUACAGCAUAGAUACACAACAAGGUCUGAAGGCAUCGCACAGGGGACUGCAUUCAAUUUCUUGUAAUAACCUACAAUGAAAAAGAAUAUGAAAAAGAAUCUAUGUGUGUGUGCCUGAACCACUAUGCUGUGCACCAGAACUAAUGCAACCUUGUAAAUCAACUAUAUUUCAAUUAAAAAAAAUCUAAAA